CCUACGGGUGGCAGCAGUGAGGAAUAUUGGUCAAUGGCCGAGAGUCUGAACCAGCCAAGUCGCGUGAAGGAUGACUGCCCUAUGGGUUGUAAACUUCUUUUAUAUGGGAAUAAAGUGUUGCACGUGUGGCUUUUUGUAUGUACCAUAUGAAUAAGCAUCGGCUAACUCCGUGCCAGCAGCCGCGGUAAUACGGAGGAUGCGAGCGUUAUCCGGAUUUAUUGGGUUUAAAGGGUGCGGAGGUGGGUUGUUAAGUCAGUGGUGAAAGUUUGGGGCUCAACCGUAAAAUUGCAGUUGAAACUGGAUGACUUGAGUACAGUAGAGGUAGGCGGAAUGCGUGGUGUAGCGGUGAAAUGCAUAGAUAUCACGCAGAACUCCGAUUGCGAAGGCAGCUUACUGGACUGCAACUGACACUGAUGCUCGAAAGCGUGGGUAUCAAACAGGAUUAGAUACCCCGGUAGUC
rnacentral:rRNA from 1 species